UACGUAGGGUGCGAGCGUUAAUCGGAAUUACUGGGCGUAAAGCGUGCGCAGGCGGCGCGUUAAGACAGGUGUGAAAGCCCCGAGCUUAACUUGGGAAUUGCGCUUGUGACUGGCGUGCUGGAGUGUGGCAGAGGGAGGUGGAAUUCCACGUGUAGCAGUGAAAUGCGUAGAGAUGUGGAGGAACACCGAUGGCGAAGGCAAUCCCCUGGACCUGUACUGACGCUCAUGCACGAAAGCGUGGGGAGCAAACAGG
rnacentral:rRNA from 1 species